rnacentral:lncRNA from 1 species
CACUGGAGACACGGCCUGAUGCGAGGCCGUGUCGAAGCAGCGACCCGGGGCGAGCGACGAUGGUGUAUGGCGCGUCCAAUUUAAACAAAAAAAUUCGAAAAUCAUUUUUUUAAAAAAAAAUGACCGUUGCUUUAAUAUUUUUUUUUAAAAAAAUCGAUUGUUGCUUUUAAACGGCUAUUUUUUUUUUUUCUUUUUUCCCUUCUAUAAAUACCACUCUUCCACAAUAUCAAAUUCACCACUUUCUCAACUACAAUUCUCUCUUUAAAAUUUUUCCCAACAACAAUUCUCUCUUCUACAUUUUUAAAUGGAUCGUGAAUUCGAUGAAUACCUCGAGCAACAAGGCGGUUCGAGGCUUCCAAUGAUGGGGUUUGCUCCAUUUUCACAAGCCUCCAAUGUCUUGGCUACGGGAAAUCUUCCCACGCCGGCGGCGAACGCCAACGUCCAAG